rnacentral:rRNA from 1 species
CCUACGGGAGGCAGCAGUGGGGAAUUUUGGACAAUGGGGGAAACCCUGAUCCAGCCAUUCCGCGUGAGUGAAGAAGGCCUUCGGGUUGUAAAGCUCUUUCGGCAGGAACGAAACGGCGGACUCUAACAUAGCCUGUCAAUGACGGUACCUGAAGAAGAAGCACCGGCUAACUACGUGCCAGCAGCCGCGGUAAUACGUAGGGUGCGAGCGUUAAUCGGAAUUACUGGGCGUAAAGCGUGCGCAGGCGGCUUUGUAAGACGGAUGUAAAAUCCCUGGGCUUAACCUAGGAACUGCGUUCGUGACUGCAAAGCUAGAGUGCGGCAGAGGGGGGUGAAAUUCCUGGUGUAGCGGUGAAAUGCGUAGAUAUCAGGAGGAACACCCGUGGCGAAGGCGGCUUCCUGGCCAUGGCCUGACGCUGAGGUGCGAAAGCCAGGGGAGCGAACGGGAUUAGAUCCCCUUGUAGU